AUGGAUCAGUGGCUUUCUGAUUCCAAAAUGCAAAAAUCAAGGCCUUCUUCUGUCACAGGACAUCCACUGGGAUUGGACAUCACGUACCUUCUGUCCUGGACACUGGGCAAGGCUGACGGCACAGUGAUUCUACACAGAGGCCUCAGGGAAUUCUCUCCAUGCUCUUGGAAGGUGGUCGACUUCCUGCCAUCCUCAACAGCCUGUGUCCCAGCUGCUUCCACAUUGCUGACAACCAAGGCCAGUAUUGAGAUCCCUGCUGGAAGCUGUAGUGAAGCCAACAUUGGGUCAGGAUGCUACUUGCUGGGCAGUGAAGUUGAGGAGGAAUGAGUGCCAGUGCCUGUGACUUCUGUGUUUUAAUAUUCACUUAACUUUGUGGAGAGUAAUUAUAUUCCACUCAUUCUACACCAGCUGGUAUUUACUUCAUCCUCCAUCAGGCAUCAACAGAGCAUGGGGCUGCAAGACAGAAAUAUUACUCUGGCGAGCAUAAAUAUUUCAUUUUUCACACCACAAAUGCGUUGAUGAUUUAUUAAUUAGCCUAAAGGCUGCUGCCUCUGUAGAGCUGAAAACGAAGCCUUUCUGCUGUGAGCCUGUCUGGGGCACAGUGCCCAUGGGUAAUGCUCAGCUGGGAACAUGGCCCAAGUUUGGCAAACAGCCUCUGGAAUGUCCAAUCCAAACUUCACAGGCCUGGUCUUGGCUUUUGACUGCUCACGGAAGCCUCAUGGAGAACUUCUUCAGACUCAAAAAAUAUUUUAUCUCUGCUUUUCCAGGAUAUGUAGCUGGGACCAGAGCCAACUAGUCUACCUACCAUCUGGCUACUGAGAUGAGGCUGCUAACCUGUGAAGGGGUCAGUACCUGCCUUUGACCUAGCUUUUGAAGCUACAUGCCUCAUGAGAGUUGGAUAUUUAGACAAACCAACGAGCCUCCCCUUGAGCUUUAGCCACAGAUGUUGGGUCACAGGGAGGGCUCAGGGCCCUUUAUACUUGUAACUGACCAAACACUGUUUGUGAGAAGAAUAAUUAUCCUAGGAGUGAAGCACUCAUGGGACAGAGGCCCACUUCGAAUGGGACAUGUGCACCCAC
rnacentral:lncRNA from 1 species